ensembl:lncRNA
GCUUCGUGAGAAUGUUGGGCCCUGUGAGCUAACAGUACAGGCCCGAAUGGGGGAGCCUGGAUUGCGGUAUGGACAGAGAAGGGACCUGUAACCUCGUGACCAAUCUUGGAUGCCAUCCCAAGGACAGUGGGGCACAGAGGUGAAGGACAGGGGAUGAAGGAAUAGCAUCCUAGGUUCCGACUGAGGCCCCUGCCAGCUAUGCAGCUGCCGUGAGCUAAGUCUUCCAUCAUCAGGAUCAGACCCUCAGCUGUCACCGGGACAGGUUCAACUUAGGGCCAGCGUGAGGAGCUGCCAUUGCGGUGGUUGGCCAUUCCCCAGAGAGAUGCAGUUAAGAAGGACGCUCUUCCUUGCACUGCUUGCUUCCUUUUCUGGGCAAGCCAUGAUGCUUGGGGCUGCAGUGGCCAUCUCGCGACAACCUGGAGCAGAGCAGAGACGCAGAUCUAGGUUGAAGUUUGUGGUGCAAACAGUUUCUUAUUUCACUGAAUAAAGAUAGCCAGGAAAACCCUGUGUGCUUCACACUGCUCUG